UGUGAUACACGUGAAAGCUCGACGAGAAAGAAAAGCCUCUUUCUAUCUCAUCAUUGCAUUUUUCAUCCUCUGUUUCUCUCUCUCAUAUCUCUGUGAGCUUCAAGAAAUGGCUGGAAAUGAUUCGCUCGCCGAAUUUCUUGCGUCUGCAGUUCAAGCUGCUCAGGAAGCUGGUGAGAUUAUUCGAGAAGGAUUCUACCAGACAAAAAA